UCGAGAAUCAUUGUCAAUGGGCGCAAGCCUUAACGUGCGACGCCGCGUGUGGGAUGAAGGCCUUCGGGUUGUAAACCACUGUCAGGGGCUAACAAUAAGUGCAUAACCUGCAUGAUGAGUUAAACCCCAGAGGAAGUGACAGCUAACUACGUGCCAGCAGCUGCGGUAAUACGUAGGUCGCGAACGUUAUUCGGAUUUACUGGGCUUAAAGGGCGUGUAGGCGGCAGCGUAAGUCAAGGUUGAAAUCCGACGGCUCACCCGUCGAACUGGCCUCGAUACUGCGUUGCUUGAGUCAUGGAGGGGUGCGCGGAACUUGUGGUGGAGCGGUGAAAUGCUCAGAUAUCACAGGGAACACCGGAGGCAAAGGCGGCGCACUGGCCAUGUACUGACGCUGUAGCGCGA
rnacentral:rRNA from 1 species